ACAAACGCACGCACGUACACACACGCACUUGCUACCUGUGGGUCUGCACUUUCUCUGUGUUGAACGUGAUACCACUGCGUCAUGAGAUUCUUCCCUUUCAGCCGCUCAACAAGAAGGACCGCGACAGACAGUGAUUAAAGGAAACUGUAUCGUAAUCGUGAUGAAGUUCUCAACAAGUAUCUCCCGCUCCCGUCAGUACUUCUGUCCAGGAGCUAAAUGUAUAGGAGACCAUCUGGGAAAAAUCGGAGCUUGCUACGUUUUCCGUGUCGCAAGCACUCAUCUUGUGCUUUCUGUCUCUUAUCAUUAGGAGCGAUUUCAUUUUGGUUUAGAUCACAUUUUCUGCGCCUUUUGUUAUUCUGACGUCAUCUUCAAGCACUUUUUGUCUAUCUGUGGUCGGAUUUGACAAGAUCUCUGCAGUUUUUAUGCCGGUCACUGCUGAGGAGUUACAAGCCGCUGUCAUUCACGGAUCCGCCGUUGCCCCAGGUGUUUCGGUGGUGUUGUGCGAGGUUGCGGUAUUUAUGCUUUUAUCCGAACGCUGUUUAACAUUCCUUAUUCGGAAUCUGGAGUCGUCCGGCUUGUUCUUCUUAGUAGCAGGAAUCUGAACAGGCUCUUUAUGAACUUGCUUUAACGACAUUUUGUUUUUUUCUCUCGCAACCUUGAGUCUGAUAUUUCACGAACAUAGAUGCGAUUCUGGUACUGAUUCUGGACGCAUAGUGUAUCACAGCUGACUUUUCCUACCAAAGGAUCAGAGGAAGGCAUUUGCCAUUUUAUUGCGCGAUGGCUGCCGAAGCGCUGUAAGGUUUCUGAUGUGCGGCGUAUUUUCAAGAUGUGUUUUUUAGGGAUUACACGUGGCGCGAGGCGCUCAGUCAAAGGGCGAGUGGGCUGGUGAAAUAGACGAAUUUCUUCUCGUUCAGGGGAACUGGUAUCGAUGGCUUCGUCCCCAAAGUUGAGAAAUCGGAAGGAUGCCAACGCCUGGCCGAGAAUGUCCUCAACUUUCUGGGCUGUGGUGAUAUUGACCAGUUUGCUCAUCAUCUACUGCGGUCAGCUUGCGGCGGGGACGUGCGAAAUCGUCACACUAGACCGCGACAGUAGUCAGCCGCGGCGGACCAUCGCCCGUCAGACAGCGCGCUGCGCCUGUAAGAGGGGCCAGAUUGCCGGGACAACGAGAGCCAGGCCAGCCUGUGUGGACGCUCGCAUCGUGAGGACCAGGCAGUGGUGUGAGAUGAUGCCGUGUUUGGACGAUGAAGGCUGUGACCUGUUAGUGAACAAAUCUGGCUGGACUUGUACACAGCCUGGGGGGAGAGUCAAAACAACAACGGCUCUUUGAAGUGCCGGAGCACCCAUUCAAAUACACACAAACAUGGCGGAGAGGCUAGCACACCUGACAGCGCGAAACCCAACCACUCGGCGAGAACAGACACGAACAAAACUGCAAACUGCAAAGCCACAGCGGGCCGUAGCGACACAGCAAGGUGUCCUGACAACCGUAGCCAAGGAGACUCCCACGGUGAGGUGCAGUCCGGACGCAGCGACGGCCGCCUCCCACCUCCCGUCUUUGCCGCAGUGGAAUCGCCUGCCUCCCGCCACUCGCUCGACAUCUCCAUCCGUCUGUCCGUCCAUCCGUCUGCGUCAUACAUGGACAGCGCCCCCCACCUUGUGCCACGUUGAACUACAGGCUCUCGUCUGUGCACCUCACCCAGAACAAGGGAGCCAGGGAUGUAGCGCACUCCAACUGCUGCCGCGACACACUUUCAGGAGGGACCCCCGAUUUCCACUCCAAUUGUUCCACGCUGUUGGAGUUCUAGUUUUGCCUGAGAGGGAGUCCCCUCCCCACCCCACCCAAACCAACGCAGCCCCGCCACAUCCCUAGGACUUUGGGGUACCGGCUCGCCGUGGACGGGUCCAGUGGUUCUUACUCAGCACGAGGCCGUGGAGAAAUGGACCCUGCUAUGCCCGUCUUGUGUAUAUGGCAACUGCUGAACUUAAUAUUUGGCGCUUUCUCGAUAUUUUUACAGACCAAAGAAAAACAACAUUUUGCGUGGACAGGAUGGACCAAGUUGAAAACAAAUGGCAUUCUGGGAACCUUACGGAUUCAGCUGGACAGCAGUGGACAGCUGGCAAAAUCACACACACACACAAAUGCGUGUAAACGUGCACGUGCUCUCACACACAGACACACACACACACACACACACACGCACAUGACUGCUGCUGAAUGGAGCAAAAGGUUUGUGGACAUAAAUAAGUGACCUGUUCAAUCUGAAAUAUCAAAGGACCUUUAAUACUUUGCUGACGUUUUUCUUGGACUUAACUCACUUUGGUAUUUGAACCUGAUUCAUAUAUAUGUAUAUAUCUAUAUAUACAUAUAUAUAAAAUCAGGUUUUCAUUUUCCAGUAGCUAUAUUUGGACAAUUUGCAAUAAGCAUGGUUGGUUACAGUAAAUGAGCAAACCAUUUAUCACCAGAAGAGAAUAAAACGAUGAAAGAGUCGUAUCAGUUUGGGGAAGAGAAAAAAAAUCAUUAAAUGUAUUUUGAAAAGCCUAAAGUUAUAUAUUUAACAGUUUUAUAUGUUGUAUCUUUGUAGAAAACCUUAUUUAACACAAAUAAUGUGGUAACAAUGGCAGUCAUAAACAGUGGAUACAAGAAGAACUCUGUGCUCAUCUUGCUGGUCUGUCCCAGUAUUUCAUUGGCCCGUGAUUGGCCGGUCUACUUUUCUAUCCAUUGAUAUUGUUUCAGUCACAUGACCAACAUUGGCUAUAUAUUAAAAAGAAAGGGGAAAAACAACUAGACUUUAUACCUCAUUAGCAUCUGGACCAUGGAAUUGUUUGCCAUUGUACUGUAUAGUAGUAGUGUGAAAAUCAGAUUCAUUCUGACUCGUUUCUCUAUGACUGAUUUUAUUUUUGUGUGUGUGUCUGUGUGCGUGGAUGUGCGUGCGUGUGUGCAUGUGUGUGUGCGUGUGUGCGAGAAUGCGUGCGUGUGUUUGCUGCACAGUGCUGACCUCAGAUUAAUGUUACUUGAAGGCAGAAAUGUCUUAGAAAACUCUUAGCAGCAUUUACAUUAAGAAAAUAUUUUAUACUAAAAAGCAUAAGAAUACAUGCAAAAAAUACAUGCAAGAAAUAUCACUCGCUCAAAUUUAAUGUUGAAAACAAAAGUAAACGUUAAAAACAUGCACGAUUGUAAAAGGCUUAGAGACUCAUCACGUUUUUCUAGAGUUUGAUUUUUUCCCUUUUAUCUGUAUGGUAAGGCCUGUAAUGUUCGUGGAGAAAAAUCGGUUCCUUUCAUGAUGGAAAAGUGUGUUUCUUCCAGCAUUUUGUUUUACACCAAUGCCUAUGUGUAGUGCAGUAUGCACAUCCACUACAGUGUAAACAGUGAGGUAAAUCCAUGGUACAUGCAUACAUACAAAUGUACAUUACAUACAUGUGCAUACACACACACACACACACACACUCACACACAUACGUACAUACAUGAAAGGAACCAAGGUGAUUUUUAUUGAUACAGUUGACAAUGAUACAUAUAUUUGAUUCCAGUUGACAUUGGCAUAGCCCAAUGGGAACUUCACCUGGAAUUAUUAUUAAAUAGGCUGAUAAGCCAAUAUCUACAGAAAUGGACCAGUGGGUUUGUGUCUGUCUGGUAAUAAAAUAAAAAACGUUCAAAAUA